rnacentral:pre_miRNA from 1 species
CACCUACUCCCUCCGUCCCAUAUUAAGUGACUUUCUAUUACAUGUAUCUAGACGCUUUUUAGGAAUAGAUACAUCCAUAUUUGGGCAAAUUUGAGUCACUUAAUAUGGGACAGAGGGAGUACAAC